rnacentral:tRNA from 1 species
AGCUAAAUAGUUUAUAAUUAGAGCGUAACACUGAAGAUGUUAAGGUGAUGUUUUAUUUUUAGGUA